AUGUUGAAAGAGUUUAUUGCCCAAUUUUCGAAACAACAGCUUUGCAACGGAAGAGACAGCGGCUUACAAUUAACAGAAUAACCAGAAUCAUUGUUAAUUCGUGCGGCAACCAGCUCGAUAAAAUUAGUUAGUUACAAACACACCUAGAAAACUCAAUCACGGCCCGGGAGUGCAGCGUACGUAAAACACCUGCCCGCAGACGACUUCGGAAGGAAAUCGAGCGAGAAGCGUAAGCACUCGACCGAGCACGAAGACGUAUUAACAUAGCGGCGGGACCGGCCGACUGUCCACUGUCACAGGCCGACGAUGUCGUGCCGUACUUAAGCCCGCCGCACACUACAUGCAAUACACACUAGAGCAA